rnacentral:rRNA from 1 species
CCCUUAGAGUUUGAUCCUGGCUCAGGAUGAACGCUAGCUACAGGCUUAACACAUGCAAGUCGAGGGGCAGCAUGUUGGUUGCUUGCAACCGAUGAUGGCGACCGGCGCACGGGUGAGUAACGCGUAUCCAACCUACCCUUGUCCAUCGGAUAACCCGUCGAAAGGCGGCCUAACACGAUAUGCGGUUCACCGCAGGCAUCUAACGUGAACGAAAUGUGAAGGAGAAGGAUGGGGAUGCGUCUGAUUAGCUUGUUGGCGGGGUAACGGCCCACCAAGGCUACGAUCAGUAGGGGUUCUGAGAGGAAGGUCCCCCACAUUGGAACUGAGACACGGUCCAAACUCCUACGGAAGGCAGCAGUGAGGAAUAUUGGUCAAUGGACGAGAGUCUGAACCAGCCAAGUAGCGUGCAGGAUGACGGCCCUAUGGGUUGUAAACUGCUUUUAUAGGGGGAUAAAGUGUGCCACGUGUGGCAUAUUGCAGGUACCCUAUGAAUAAGGACCGGCUAAUUCCGUGCCAGCAGCCGCGGUAAUACGGAAGGUCCAGGCGUUAUCCGGAUUUAUUGGGUUUAAAGGGAGCGUAGGCCGUUUGGUAAGCGUGUUGUGAAAUGUCGGGGCUCAACCUGGGCAUUGCAGCGCGGACUGCCAGACUUGAGUGCGCAGGAAGUAGGCGGAAUUCGUCGUGUAGCGGUGAAAUGCUUAGAUAUGACGAAGAACUCCGAUUGCGAAGGCAGCCUGCUGUAGCGCAACUGACGCUGAAGCUCGAAAGCGUGGGUAUCGAACAGGAUUAGAUACCCUGGUAGUCCACGCGGUAAACGAUGGAUGCUCGCUGUUUGCGUCUGACGUAAGCGGCCAAGCGAAAGCGUUAAGCAUCCCACCUGGGGAGUACGCCGGCAAC